GACGAACGCUGGCGGCGUGCUUAACACAUGCAAGUCGAACGGUGAAAGCGGAGCUUGCUCCGCUGGAUCAGUGGCGAACGGGUGAGUAACACGUGGGCAACCUGCCCCUCACUUCGGGAUAACUCCGGGAAACCGGGGCUAAUACCGGAUAUGACCUCCUUGGGCAUCCUUGGAGGUGGAAAGUUUUUCGGUGAGGGAUGGGCCCGCAGCCUAUCAGCUUGUUGGUGAGGUAGUGGCUCACCAAGGCGACGACGGGUAGCCGGCCUGAGAGGGCGACCGGCCACACUGGGACUGAGACACGGCCCAGACUCCUACGGGAGGCAGCAGUGGGGAAUAUUGCGCAAUGGGCGAAAGCCUGACGCAGCAACGCUGCGUGCGGGAUGACGGCCUUCGGGUUGUAAACCGCUUUCAGCAGGGAAGAAGCCGCAAGGUGACGGUACCUGCAGAAGAAGCACCGGCUAACUACGUGCCAGCCGCCGCCGUAA
rnacentral:rRNA from 1 species